rnacentral:lncRNA from 1 species
CCGUAAACAAAAUUGUUGAGCGGAUGCACACUCCAAUCAAACGAUGAGGCGUACACGAUGUAGUUUGUACUGUAUGCUCUGCUCCAUUAGGAAUCCUUCGUUCUCCGACCAAAAUAACUCAUGUCUGUGUUGUUUUUGUUUUAAGAUGCAAAUACGUGUCCAAGAUGCUCGGUCCAUGAAUGCUAGUUGUCUUCGACUUGGGGAAUUUUUAUAGUUGAGUUUUGGUGGACUUCAAACAUUGGCAUGGCCACUUUGUUUUUGGAACAUGGCUUGGCAAAUUGUGCAUCGGUAAUUGAAG